CUCAUUGCAGGAGACAAAAAUCAGAGAGGUCUACAGGGCAGCUUUUCUGGAGUCUUGGAGGCCUCAGUGAGGAAUACAGAUUUCAUUGAAAGUGUGAUUGGGAGCAAUUGAGCACACAGGAAACUCAGAAAAGAUCACUCUGGCUACUAUCUAGAGAUGAAGUUAUAAGAAGACCAGAGAGACAACAGUGGGAGCAGGACUCUGAGCAAAGACUCCAAGACAGUAGACACAGAAGAAGCCUAAUUCUUUAGGUCAUCUCGGGAAGAUCACCUAGAAGUGAUCCUAGGAGUCACCUAGAAGAUUCUCUUUACUUGCACCAUAUAUUGGGAAGGCAGGAGCCCAUCAGCUCUGAAGGGAGAAGUGGAUCUCCCAGUACCGUGCUUAAGCUCUGCAAAGGGACAGACUGCCUACUCAAGUGGUUCCCCGACCUUCAUACAAGGGUCAACAAACACCUCAUAGAGGAGAGCUCCGGCUGGCAUCUGGUGCGUAACCCUCUGGGACAAAGCUUCCAGCAGAAAAAACAGGCAGCAAUCUUUGCUGUUCUUCAGCCUCUGCGGGUGAUACCUAGGCAAACAGGGUCUGGAGUUGACUUCCAGCAAACUCCAGCAGAAAUGGAGCAGAGGGGCCUGACUGUUAAAAGGAAAAGUAACAGAAAGGAAAGGCAUCAACAUCAACAAAAAGGAGGUCCACACCGAAACUCCAUCUGAAGGUCACCAAUAUCAAAGCCCAAAGACAUGUCGAAUACUAAUUGAUGAAACUUUGAAAGAGGAAGGAAAAAAACAGCAUCUCACUCUGAAAUAUCUUUGAGAAGUGAACAUUAAGAUGAACAUAAAAUAAUCGGGGGUGGAAGGAAGCUCACACUCUCUUCAUUUCAAACCAAGAGCUCAUGAAAGACACCAAGUGAAACCUCCCACCUGCUUGGCAAUUUGACAAGUAAGACCAACAUACUAAUAUGUUCUUUUUCUUUUAGUUAAUGCUAACAAAUUUUAUGAUAAGUUGAGUAUUUGUUUACUUGUUUUCAUUCGGUAAUCCUGUGUUUGUAUCAUUUUCUAGAUAAUAAACCCACCACUCAAAACGAGUUUUAUGUAUAUUUUUAAUAAAGCUAAUUAGGCAGUAGGCAGUUUGGAAAGCUUCUUUGCAUAGCACAUUAGCAGUUAGGUAAUUUCUCUCAGGAAGAGUGGGAGGAGCUCUGGGCCUUUUUAAAUUAUAGAGAGCUCUUUAUUCUUACCAGCUUUUUAUUUAUUUUUUAAUAAAGUUAACUUCUUUAAGUGCCACAUAGAAACAACUAGAGUCCUCUUCACUAUCAGUGUUGAUUCCAUGGUAAUGAACCCAGGAUCAUAGGCCCAUGGCCAGGAAUACACUAUACAUCUGCCCAACUGCUUGAAAAAUACAUGUCAUCAUAUGCAAUGGAGAACUGCCCAAGGUGUGAAGAGUUCAGGGUAAACCCUGACAUCACAGGACACACAAUUCAAGUCUAUUCACAAUUUCCACCUGCUUGAUUGCUCAGUAGAGGCAGCACAUUGACUUAAAGAGACAGAUUUUUAUGACUAUUAAAUCCUUACGGCAUUUGUAAGUUUUUCAGGCUUUGCAGACAUCAUUUAAUGUCACAGUGCUUUAUUAUUAGUUCAUGGUUUCCAUUUCCUUUUUUUAAGGUCACUGAAAUGUUGUAGUGAAAUAAUGGUACUCCAGUUCCCUCAAAUAAUUAAUAUAUCCUUAAUGUGCCUUUCCAACAGAACAUGCUUUAGCCAUUAGGGAAACUAAAGGCUGUUAUUAGUGUCUUUCAUCAGGAACCACAGACUCCUAGAAUGUCAGAUGUGUAUAAAGCUGAAGAAUGUAUCCUUGCAACACUCCAUUUUAUAUUUGUUUAUGAUUUCUUUAAUAUUAUUGUAAGCACUCUUUAAUGCAGAGCAAUUAGCUGAGAUGGCCAGUCCAAAAUUAGUUCAAGGCUGAAGAAUGCACCAAUUUAAAGCCAAGGUAACUUUAUUGCUUUCAGUAAAAUAUAAUUACACCAACUAAUAACUGUCAAAAUCUUAGGCAGGGGAUUUCAUCUAGAAAUAAACCUUUUACUUAUUGUCUACAUAUAAAUUCAGUAAAAAAUGCUUAAAAUAGUUCUCUUAAAGAGAUUCGUUUUUUUGCAAUUCCAACUUUUUGAAAUGUUAUGUAGUUACAAAGGAAUUACAAUUUUUAAUAGAAAAUAUAAGGACAAAUAUAAAAUAAAUUCAGGAAAAAUUACAAAUUCUGAGUUAGUAUAAACUAAGGCUUUACUAUAACAAAAACAAUGGUCAGUUUUUCCUUUGUCAAAUAAUUCAACAUUUAAUAUAUAUAAGAUCUUUUGUAAAUGUAUUCAGUACAUUAGUGAAUAAAAUACUCCCUGAUCUUAGGGAGGGAGAGGUAAACAAUAAGAAUGUUAAAUGGUGGCAAGCGCAAUGCAAAUAAGAAAAAUAAGGUUGAAUAUGGAAAUUGGGUGUGUUUGGGUGUUCAAGCUGGAACUUUAGAUAACAGCCUGAUAGCCUUUUCUAUCAGGAUAGUCUGUUGGAAAAGGUAAUAUAAUCAAAACUUAAAGGAAGUAAAGAGAAAAUAAUAUUGGGUCAAGAACUUUCCAGCAAAAAGAAUGGCAAGUUUGACAACCCCAAAGGUAGGUUUGAAGAAUAGCAAAGUGAUUAAUGUGAUGAUAUGAUUUUGUGUCUGUGUCCCCACCAAAUCACAUAUUGAAUUGUAAUCCCCAGUUUUGGAGGUGGGGCCUGGUGGGAGGUGACUGGGUCGGUGGUGUGGAGAUCUCUUGAAUGGGCUACCACCAUCCCAUUGGUGCUGUUCUCGUGAUAGUAAGUGAGUGAGUUUGCAUGAGAUCCGGUUAUUUAAUAGUGUGAAGGACCUCCCCCAUCUCUCUCUCCCUUCUGCUCUAGCCAUGUAAGAUGUGCCUGCUUCCCCUUUGCCAUCUCCCAUAAUUGUACAUUUCCUGAGGCCUCCCAGAGCUGAAUAGAUGCCAAAAUCAUGUGUCCUGUACAGCCUGUGGAACUGUGAGCCAAUUAAACCUCUUUUCUUCAGAAAUUGCCCAGUUGUAGGCAUUUCUUUAUAGCAAUGCGAGCAUGGACUAAUCAAAAAAAUUGGUACUGAGACCUGGUAGAGUGCUAUAAAGAUACUUGAAAAUGUGGAAGUGACUUUGGAAUGUAACAGGCAGAGGAUAAAAAAGUGUGGAGGGCUCAAAAGAAGACAGAAAGAUGAGAAAAAGUUUGAAACUUCCUAGAGACUUGUUAAACUAUCGUGACCCAAAUGCUGAUACAAAUAAUUUGUAAUAUGUAAUUGAGAGAUAAAAAAGGAGAGAGUUGAAAUAUUAAUAAACCAGCCAGAAUUGCUGAGUUGUGAGGUAGCAAAAAUGGUGUAUUUUGUGUAAUGUUACCUUCUUUAAAUUUGGACAUUGAGGAAAGAAUUCUAAACCCUUUGAAUGUUUUCAGAAGUAAUUACUUGGGAGAAAAAUAGUUCUUUAAAAAACUACAGGUCAGCUAGAACAGGAUUAUUUCAUUAGUGCUUAUAGGUGUCUCCAAGUCUAGGAGGAGCUUUUUUAGCAUAAGAUUUCUAAACAUAGUUUUAAAAAUGUUUUAUGGGUCAAAAAAAGUAUUAAAAACAACAAAACCUUGCAUCAAAAAUGGCUAAAAGAAUAAAUUAUAAAAUAAUUGUUAAAAAUCCUUCCUACAUCUUUCAUAAGAAUAGAGAAAAGAAGACUGAUUUUCCUUUGAAAGUAAUUCAUUUUUUCUGAUCAUGGAACUGAUCACAUUUACUCUAUAAAAUUGAAAAAAGUAUAUGAGAAAAAAAUUACAUCUUUUUUGCAAUAAAACAUAUUCUCUAUGAAC